rnacentral:rRNA from 1 species
AUUGAACGCUGGCGGCAUGCCUUACACAUGCAAGUCGAACGGUAACGCGGGGCAACCUGGCGACGAGUGGCGAACGGGUGAGUAAUGCAUCGGAACGUGCCCGGUAGUGGGGGAUAACUGCUCGAAAGAGCAGCUAAUACCGCAUACGACCUGAGGGUGAAAGGGGGGGAUCGCAAGACCUCUCGCUAUCGGAGCGGCCGAUGUCGGAUUAGCUAGUUGGUGGGGUAAAAGCCCACCAAGGCAACGAUCCGUAGCUGGUCUGAGAGGACGACCAGCCACACUGGGACUGAGACACGGCCCAGACUCCGACGGGAGGCAGCAGUGGGGAAUUUUGGACAAUGGACGCAAAUCUGAUCCAGCCAUGCCGCGUGCGGGAAGAAGGCCUUCGGGUUGUAAACCGCUUUUGUCAGGGAAGAAAUCUUCUGAGUUAAUACCUCGGGAGGAUGACGGUACCUGAAGAAUAAGCACCGGCUAACUACGUGCCAGCCGCCGCGGUAA